rnacentral:hammerhead_ribozyme from 1 species
GUACUACUGAGGAGUAUAACAAUAGAACGAAACGGUCGUCCAGUAU